GACGAACGCUGGCGGCGUGCUUAACACAUGCAAGUCGAACGGAAAGGCCCUGCUUUUGUGGGGUGCUCGAGUGGCGAACGGGUGAGUAACACGUGAGUAACCUGCCCUUGACUUUGGGAUAACUUCAGGAAACUGGGGCUAAUACCGGAUAUGAGCUCCUGCUGCAUGGUGGGGGUUGGAAAGUUUCGGCGGUUGGGGAUGGACUCGCGGCUUAUCAGCUUGUUGGUGGGGUAGUGGCUUACCAAGGCUUUGACGGGUAGCCGGCCGGAGAGGGUGACCGGCCACAUUGGGACUGAGAUACGGCCCAGACUCCUACGGGAGGCAACAGUGAGGAAUAUUGCACAAUGGGCGGAAGCCUGAUGCAGCAACGCCGCGUGCGGGAUGACGGCCUUCGGGUUGUAAACCGCUUUCGCCUGUGACGAAGCGUGAGUGACGGUAAUGGGUAAAGAAGCACCGGCUAACUACGUG
rnacentral:rRNA from 1 species